rnacentral:misc_RNA from 1 species
UAUGAUGGAUUACUUAGCAAACAAGUAUGACUUCAAAAUGCUAAAUAGCUUGCUUAUUUUAUAAUUUAUUUUUCUGCUCCCUUUGACUUGAGCAGAUUCAGCAGGAUUGAUCUGCAGUUUGUACACUUUUUAUAUCUAGGCAUUCUUAAGUUCUAUGCCACAAAAUAUAUAAUUUCGACUCCAUCAUAUGUUGUAUUAUUUGCUUGGUCAUGAUCAGUUGGGUAUUUUUUUUUUCAUUGGAACCUUUAGAGUGCAUACUUAAUAUUUAGUAAAUUGAAAGUGAUAUGACUAUCACAGCAAAAUUCAUGAUUUUUCAAUUAAUGUUAUGUUCAAAUGAAACUGUGAACAUUGAUAUGAUGGAAUUUAAAGUUCUUUCAACAUUUUGAAAAUGAAAUUGCAAUGGAAUUUGUCAUACAUAGUUGUUUCAUUGGAUAAUUGAUUCCCCUUACCUUUUUUCAUGGAUUUGAUCAAUUACA